CCUCAUUCCUUUUAUUCUCCCUCCUUGCCUUUAUUUCCUACAUUUGAGAUCAAAGGCCCCGACUUCUUUAUUCCAUACUUAAGAACAUUUAAGCAAUUACCGUUAUACUCCUGUCUAUCCUUAAAAACAAUUAAAUCAAAAUUUAUUUCUCCCUAACCUUUGAUUAUUUGCUUGUAGGAAGCAGGCAGUGUCCACUGUCUGAAUCUCUAUCUCCCGAGCAGCCUGUCUGUCUGGACAGCAUGGAUUCCCAGAACCUGAGGUUAAGCUCUCUGGGGCAGCUAGGAACCUUGAGAAGGGCCCAGACACUGUCUAGGGAUGACAGUGAUGACCAACCUCC
rnacentral:lncRNA from 1 species